AGUGGCAGACGGGUGAGUAAUACAUAGGUAACCUUCCCUCAAGAUGAGGAUAACCUUCCGAAAGGAGGGCUAAUACUGAAUGAGACCACAGGAACUAAGGUUCCAGGGGUCAAAGGAUGGCCUCUACUUGUAAGCUAUCGCUUGAGGAUGGGCUUAUGCACCAUCAGGUAGUUGGUAAGGUAAUGGCUUACCAAGCCUAUGACGGUUAGCUGAUCUGAGAGGUUGAUCAGCCAUACUGGAACUGAGACACGGUCCAGACUCCUACGGGAGGCAGCAGUAGGGAAUAUUGCGCAAUGGAGGAAACUCUGACGCAGCGACGCCGCGUGGGUGACGAAGGUCUUCGGAUCGUAAAGCCCUGUCGGCAGGGACGAAAAACGCAAUGGCUAACAUCCAUAGCGCUUGACGGUACCUGCAGAGGAAGCACCGGCUAACUACGUGCCAGCAGCCGCGGUAAUACGUAGGGUGCUAGCGUUGUUCGGAAUUAUUGGGCGUAAAGCGCGUGUAGGUGGUUUGUUAAGUCGGAUGUGAAAUCCCUGGGCUCAACCGAGGAAGUGCAUUCGAAACUACCAAGCUAGAGGACGGCAGAGGAUGGUGGAAUUCCUAGUGUAGAGGUGAAAUUCGUAGAUAUUAGGAGGAAUACCGGCGGCGAAGGCGGCCAUCUGGGCCGUUCCUGACACUGAGACGCGAAAGCGUGGGUAGCAAACAGGAUUAGAUACCCUGGUAGUCCACGCUGUAAACGAUGGGUACUAGG
rnacentral:rRNA from 1 species